GGAAAAGGGCCAAACUCUGCAGGGUGAUCCGCUCCACUCGCACUGUUGAGUUUUGAGAGAUUUAUUUUAAACACAGGCAUUUAUGUGGGAGAAAGGUUCACCUUCAUGUCUUCUGUUUUCUUUGUCAGUGAAGAUGCAAUUAUGAAGGCGGAAAAGGCACCCGAGUGAGGUCUUUGCAGAUCCUGGCAGGCUUCGUUCCUUUGAUCCUGGCAGAUGUACUUCCAUUGUCUCAGCCAGGAAGCAGACCCUGGAGCAGAUGUGGUCUCAUAGCUCAGGGUUGGGUUUCAAAUGCCUUACACCAACCCAUACCUAUUUGCUGAGCUCCAGACCUGGUUUGCAACAGCAUACAGAGAACCUGCACCGUGGAUGAAGGAUGAACUCCUCACAUCUACCUGUUGGAACAGAGCUCAGUUGCCCCCAGCACUUGACUCUUCUUUCCCUUUCUGAGUGGAAGUUGGUAGUGUUGUCUUCCAUUGCGUUCCUAUAUACUCUUCUCAUUCCAGCUCUGGUCACGAGAGAUCUCUUGUUUGCUCAUGCUCAUGCUAUCAGUGACAUUCCAGGUUUCUGAUUUCUUUCCUGGGGUCAACUGCCUCACCCCAGACCCUCCUCUAGAUGGCUGAUCUUCACUGUCCACUUGACCGGAUUUUGAAGCACCUGAGAGACACACUGCUGGGCAUAUCUACAAGGAUGUUUCCAGAAAAGAUUGAUUGGAGGGUGAAGGUCCACUCUUAGUGUAGGCAGCAGACAGCAGCUUGCAAUGGAGAGCCCAGAGAGAGAGAGAGAAGAAAAGCAGGAUUGGGCCUUCCCAUUUUUCCAAGAGCACUGAGUACGUCUACAUGUGCCCGUGAUCCUCCAUGACAUGACUCCAGCUUCUUCAGCCUUCAUGGUAGACUGAAUGGCAGCCACUCCUUGAGUCGUUUCUAGGCUCUCAGUGCUACAUCAGGACUGCUGAACCCUAUAGCCUCCAGCUACUGGGCUUUCUGCCUCGUGGGUAUUGAUAGACAGUGAGGAGUCCAUGUGUUGGAAGCCUGGUCCUGGGUGUGAUAUUAUUGGGAAGUUGUGUGGCACUUUCCAGGGAUUGGGCUUAGUAUAUACUGGGCCAUCAAAUGCUGCUCUCUGAAGAGAGUAGUUUAGUUCUUAUGAAUUUAUUAGAGUUGUGCAAUGGCCCUGAUUCAGUUGUGUAAGAAGGUUGUUGUAGAGGGAAGGAUGUGGACCCCCCUUUAUCUCUGGCUUCCUGACUCCAGUAGGUAUCUUCCUGUCUUGUGUACUACAGCCACGUGCCAUCUCCAGUGAUGUAAUGAAUCUGGAGGGCCCUAUAAGAGCCAGUGAAUACCUGCUGUUAGGACUUACCGCCUUUGCGACCAUAAACUCAAUAAACCUGUUUUCUUUAUGC
rnacentral:lncRNA from 1 species